rnacentral:lncRNA from 1 species
CUCUCUCUCGGCAUGGACACAAAAGAAAAGCCAUGUGAGGACACAGAGAGAAGGUGGCUGUCUACGAGCUAGGAAGAAAGGCCUCACCGGAAACCAACCCUCACAGCAGCUCCAUCUUGGACUUCCAGCCUCCGGAACUGUGAGAAAAUAAAUGUUUGCAAUUCAGGGAGCUCCACCCAGCAGCAGCGUUUGACAGAGCUGUUCACUUCCUCUUCCUGGAGCUGUGGCUUCCAGAGCCCAUGCUCAGCAGUUCCCCUCCUUCUUCGACUGCUCCUCUCUUAGGCUCAGAGCCACUCAGACAUUGGGAAGCAAGUUUGUCAAGAUGACAGAGAACCGAGGUAAUGGAUUCGAGUGAUGAAACAGGAAGUUCAUUCAUGAGUUUUUGGCCACACCUCCAAAGUGACGACUUAGCCAGAAAUGGGAUAACUGGGUUUCCCUACUUCUCUUUUAUCAUCCUCAAUGAGAGUGACCAAAUAUUAGAGCUAGAUGGAACCUUAGUGAAAAUCUGGCUACUCGUCCCGUCCCACCAGCCUGCCACCCAUUUCAAGUUUGAAGAGACAAAGACACAUGGACCUUAUGUAAUUACUGGGGAUUACCCCAGGAGUCUGUGGCAAAAGUCAGCUUCUUCCCUCCCUGCUUCCCCGCCCUGUCUCUGGUACUUUCUACCAACACUGGGCUGUUUCUGUGAUCACACUUAAGCGUACCUAACCUGCGAAUGCUGUAUAGAAGGUGCUAAUGAACAUGAUUUAGCUUUAACACUCAGUUUUCUAAAGGGACACGUGGGGGCAGCAAAUGUUUAGGCAAAAACAAUUCCAGUUCUAGCCUCUACUGUCUACAUAUGUGUAUACAUUUGGGAAACGUUUGGGAAAGGGAUAUUU